CUCUGUUGGUAAAACUAGCAUUUAUUUAUUUAUCUGGAGGUAUUCUUUCAAAAUGUUAAGUAAAGAUAUUAGUUGCUCAUUUUUGAGAAAAUGCAGUGAGAGUGAAUACUAUACGAGUUGUCGUAACCGAGACAUCACUUUGUCUAAUUCUACGAUCGAAUAGUUUACUAAAAAGAAAUGCAAUUAUUGUGGUUUCUGGCUUAGUGUUUCUAUUUUUCUUCGUCACAAAUGAGCCGCAACCACUGGAACCAUGGAAGAAAACCACUCGACGCGACAAAGAAUGCAUCUUUUUGCCCGCAAAUCGAUUUGUUCAACCCAAAGAUGAAGAGCUCCUCUCAAGUCCUGGGAAGGAGGACUGUCUCGUCCUCAAUGUUUAUUCUCCAGACGUGAGUUCUCAAGCAAGCAAACAUACAAUUCAAGCACUUUUCUAGGAAGCUUCUAAUUCCUGCUUGUUGUGGUUGUACCGGUGGAAAAAUAAAUAUGAGAACAUCAUUUCGGAAUUUUAAAACUGUUCACUAGUUUAAAUUGGACGUAUUUCUACCAAACAGACCUAUGUGCAGGCGAGGAAUGUGGGGUGUGCUCGUGGAAGCUGCAUAAGAAGCAAUGCAAAAGUGGGCAUGAUUCCUUUUGAAGAAUGGAAAAGCGGGAUAUUGCAUUCUAUCAAACAGACCUAUGUGCAACUGAAUGCGGAAUUCAUGAGCCGCGGGCAUGGCAAGAGAGCCUUGUGGACAGGGCUCAUGAGUUAAAGAAGAGCAAGAACGGCGGAGGUGGCAAGUGGCCACGGCUUCAGUGCCGCUGACGUCACUGGCGCUUAAUUAUUCUCAUUCACUCUUACGGCCAGAGAACUAACGAGCACACCCCAUAUUCCUCACUUGCACAUAGGUCUGUUUGGUAGAAAUACGUCCAAAUAUUGUUUUACUUUUAAAAAUACUGCUGAAAAAAAUUCAUGGAUGUGAUUUAAUGCGUUUCCGCGUUUAAUUUUGGACUUUGCCAAAUCAGAUCUCUAAUCUUAAAUGUUCAAGAGU
rnacentral:lncRNA from 1 species